GGGAAUGUGGCUUAAUGGUAGAGCUCUUGCUUGGCAUGCAUGAAGCCUUGAGUUCCAUUCCUC
rfam:Dipodomys ordii contig_33081, whole genome shotgun sequence.